GCCAGAGCUAAAACUCAGUGUAUGUUAUAUCUGGCACUCAAAUUAUGGGUCUUUCGGGCUUGAUAAUCAAUGCUGGGUGUGGUGAUUUCAAUGAAAAUGGCCUGUGCAGAUUGCAUAUCAGAUGUAAGCUCUUAGCUACUGCUCCAACACCAAACUUCAUGCCUUCAUGCCGCCAUGUUCUCUGCCAUGAUAGCUGUGGACUCACCAUUGGAAUCUAAAGCCCCAAACACUCCAUCUUCUAUAAGGUUAAGAAAAGCUGCUGAGCCCCGGUUUGUGGCAGGAGAAUCUCUGCAUGGAUGCUAAGAGAGGACACUGUGUGAAGCUGUAAAAGUGAAGCCUGGAUUGUGUUGGAGACACAAAGAUGUUGAGAUGCCAGAGCCAUUGAUACCUUCCAAUGUAUCCAUGCUGCAUGCUGAGUGUGGAACCAGAUCAAGAUAGAGAGAAGUGUGUUUCAGUUAGCAAAACUGGAAGGGAAGAAUCAUCUAAGCCCUUUGACAACAGAAAUACAAACUAUAGGAUUUGGAGUUUACCAUGCUGGGUUUAAUUAUUACUUGGUCCCAUAUUUCCUCACUAUUCUCCAUU